rnacentral:rRNA from 1 species
GAAUCCCGUCUUUGACACGGACUACCAGUGCUUUGUGAUGCGCUCUCAAAGAGUCGAGUUGUUUGGGAAUGCAGCUCAAAAUGGGUGGUAAAUUCCAUCUAAAGCUAAAUAUUGGCGAGAGACCGAUAGCGAACAAGUACCGUGAGGGAAAGAUGAAAAGAACUUUGGAAAGAGAGUUAAACAGUACGUGAAAUUGCUGAAAGGGAAACGCUUGAAGUCAGUCGCGUUGUCCGGGGAUCAACCUUGCUUUUGCUGGGUGUACUUUCCGGUUGACGGGUCAGCAUCAAUUUUGACCGUUGGAUAAAGUGUAAGGGAAUGUGGCAUCCUCGGAUGUGUUAUAGCCCUUGCUCGCAUACAACGGUUGGGAUUGAGGAACUCAGUACGCCGCAAGGCCGAGAUUUAUCUACGUUCGUACUUAGGAUGCUGGCAUAAUGGCUUUAAUCGACCCGUCUUGAAACACGGACCAAGGAGUCUAACAUGCCUGCGAGUGUUUGGGUGGAAAACCCGAGCGCGUAAUGAAAGUGAAAGUUGAGAUCCCUGUCGUGGGGAGCAUCGACGCCCGGACCAGACCUUUUGUGACGGAUCUGCGGUAGAGCAUGUAUGUUGGGACCCGAAAGAUGGUGAACUAUGCCUGAAUAGGGUGAAGCCAGAGGAAACUCUGGUGGAGGCUCGUAGCGAUUCUGACGUGCAAAUCGAUCGUCAAAUUUGGGUAUAGGGGCGAAAGACUAAUCGAACCAUCUAGUAGCUGGUUCCUGCC